UCGAUCCCUUCCUCAUGGCAGCCCUACUACAGCUUUUCAACACGCACCCCGGUACCUAACCUGGAACUUCGAAGCCGACGAGUACUGUCCAUGGCCACCAGUGCUCCAGCCGUCGCAGCUGCUAACGAAGCCAACAUUUCGUACUGCAAGACGGCGUGCUCUACAAGUGAAACUACACGCCCGAAGGCGACCGGCAUCUUCAUCCCGACAUCCCCAACAUCUUCACGGCACGAUACUGCAAGUAUUUCACGACGACCCAACUGCAGGGCAUUUAGGGUUUUUCAAAACAUACGAGCGAAUUCGCCGAAAGUUCUUUUGGCCGCGCCUGUACAAAAGCAUCUACAAAUAUGUUCUUUCUUGCCAGCUCUGCAAAAACGAAAGACAACUUCUUCAUCCUCCGGUGCCCUCCACUUGUUACCUCCCCCUGAGCAUCCUUUUGAACGCAUUGGGAUUGGGAUUUUCGGCCCACAACCGUUGUCUGCCUCUGGUAGCCGCUGGAUCGUGACUGCAAUCGACUACGCAACCAGGUUUGUCGUCGCCUCACCUUUCCCGUGUGCUACGGCGGCAGACGUAUGCAAGAACGAAUGCAGCUCUUUGGUGUUUCUUGCACGGGGAAAGUUCUGAACUGCCCUCUUUUUCUCAGGAUCAGGUUGCAGACCUACUGAGCGGAAACAGCCGAAAAUAUCACGAAGGUGGUGAAUGUGGUCCUGCAUGGGGCGAGAAAGAACGAGCACGACAUCCACCUCUCGAUCAUACGUUCACAUGUUGCAGCUGCGUUACGCAGCCUGGAGGACAUUACACGGAAUUUAUACAGGCCCUUUGGGAGGACGAUGGAAUUCCUCUACGCUAGUCCUGACCAGCAAUGAUGGAAUGGAACUGCGGGCAGAUGGACAUGGCCUCACACUAGAACGGUGCUGGUAGAACUGCCGUGCCAGUUCCGUAGCGCAUGGCAGGAGAGGCACAUCGUCGUCGUCGUCGUCCACGGGCCGCCACAUCACUCCCCCCCUCAGACGCGGAGCGGUGCAUGCGGUUGACGUCCCUGUCGAUACUAUAAAGAGGAGAAUGAGGACGACUCGCCAAUGGUGGACGACUGGACACACGGCAUGUGCUUGUGGCUGUUGAUGCAGCAGCAGCGGGAUGGCAGGGAACAAGAGCGCUGCGAUCGGGGCAGGUUCCAGUGAUGAGAUGUAAAUGCCUAUUGGUUGAGUGGUUGGGUGCUCGAGUCGUUGCUGAUUGUGUGGAGUGUUUGCUGAGUGCGUUGACCCCUUGUAGAGUGCGCUGAGUGCUUGCUGAAUGAUUACUGCGCCAUUAAACUCCGAAUCAUCAUCAUCAUCAUAAAAUAUCCUGCCCAAAACAAAGAGUUCACCAGGUUGGUGAGGCGAUUCCAUUAAACAUGAAACAGUGCGCCCGAACUGCGCCCCACACGAGCCCGUUCUCGCGGUUUGGACACGCGACGCGCGCGAUCCGUUACCGUUUUCCCAAGUAAGCGCACUGUUUUAUCACUUAAACAAAAGCAGAGCUGACCUGCCCCCCCUCCCCCCCAUUGUAGUACCCUCGCGAUAAAUCUUUUAUUACA